GAAUGACUCUCGGCAACGGAUAUCUCGGCUCACGCAUCGAUGAAGAACGUAGCAAGAUGCGAUACUUGGUGUGAAUUGCAGAAUCCCGUGAACCAUCGAGUUUUUGAACGCAAGUUGCGCCCGAAGCCAUCCGGUUGAGGGCACGCCUGCCUGGGCGUCACG
rnacentral:rRNA from 1 species